UAGCGGUUUUGCUCCCAAGCUGGCACCUCUCUCCACUCCACCGCACCUCCCUAGCCGCUUCCUCCUCCGGCCACGCGCCCUGCCUCCACCGUGCCUCCCCUGCCGCCCCUGCACCCUGCUGGCGAUUCGUCAUCCGCCCCUGCACACUCGCCGACGAGCUGGCCCCAAUGGUCCGUCUAAAGAGGAGGGCGCGAACCGCUGCAUCUCCACCCGCGUGUUCUAACCGAGCCACAUCGACGGCGAGCAGCCACCAGCGGAGUCUCCGAGCCACACAUCCAAGGAGCGUUGCAUCGGGUGCGAGGGUUGGCCAUCGCGCCCGCCAUAGGCCUACCCCUGACCGCUUGCGCGAGGCACCCCACACCCCCGCCGCGAGGGGCCCCGUCCACACGAGGACUCAGCGUACAGGAGGACAGGAGACAGGAGGUUCGUGACUUUGGGAGGAGCGUUGGGAGGUAUCUCCAUCUAUUUUCAGUAUGAGUUCGUUGAUCUGUAAUUUAGUGCGAUCUGUAAUGUAGUGCGAGUCUGCUACAUCACUUUUAUUUUGCUGUACAGAUUCAUCUCAACCUUUUGCAUCAAUGGUUCUGUCAGAUAACUAAAAUGAUAACUGAAUGGCUAAAAUUGGAUUUUGUUUGGCC